AUUGAACGCUGGCGGCAGGCUUAACACAUGCAAGUCGAACGGUAACAGGAGAAAGCUUGCUUUCUUGCUGACGAGUGGCGGACGGGUGAGUAAUGCUUGGGAAUCUGGCUUAUGGAGGGGGAUAACGACGGGAAACUGUCGCUAAUACCGCGUAGAAUCGAGAGAUGAAAGUGCGGGACCGCAAGGCCGCAUGCCAUAGGAUGAGCCCAAGUGGGAUUAGGUAGUUGGUGGGGUAAAGGCCUACCAAGCCGACGAUCUCUAGCUGGUCUGAGAGGAUGACCAGCCACACCGGGACUGAGACACGGCCCGGACUCCUACGGGAGGCAGCAGUGGGGAAUAUUGCGCAAUGGGGGCAACCCUGACGCAGCCAUGCCGCGUGAAUGAAGAAGGCCUUCGGGUUGUAAAGUCCUUUCGGUAUUGAGGAAGGUUGUUGUGUUAAUAGCACGACAAAUUGACGUUAAAUACAGAAGAAGCACCGGCUAACUCCGUGCCAGCAGCCGCGGUAAUACGGAGGGUGCGAGCGUUAAUCGGAAUAACUGGGCGUAAAGGGCACGCAGGCGGACUUUUAAGUGAGGUGUGAAAUCCCCGGGCUUAACCUGGGAAUUGCAUUUCAGACUGGGAGUCUAGAGUACUUUAGGGAGGGGUAGAAUUCCACGUGUAGCGGUGAAAUGCGUAGAGAUGUGGAGGAAUACCGAAGGCGAAGGCAGCCCCUUGGGAAUGUACUGACGCUCAUGUGCGAAAGCGUGGGGAGCAAACAGG
rnacentral:rRNA from 1 species